rnacentral:lncRNA from 1 species
GCGUGCUGCACGUGGCUCUCGUUCGCUUGGCGGAUUGCUUAGUUCUUGCCAUCUACAAGGCAAACAAGAUCAAGCAUUAGUUCUAUUAUGUCACACAGAAGAAAUGGAAUCGAGGUAUUCCAUCUCUCCUUGUGCGAACUGCAAACCGCUGUUCACUUCAACAAAUUUCAACCAAAUCAAACUCAAAUCGCAAUCGUGAAAUAGUAGAGUGUUCAUAUUCUAAAUCAACCCUAACAGCACGAGGGGAGAUCGAUAUCAAGUGGUUAAACAAGAAUCGAUCUAUGAAAGCGGUUUAGAAAUGAAAUUGCAAACCGAGUGUUGUUGCGAUUUGGUUGGGAUUGUCGGGUCUCUUACCUGUGGAAACUGGUGAAGUGAUCUGCAAAAACAGAGAGAACUCGAGAUUCCAAACGAAUGAGAAGCAAAACCACUUAAAACGGUUGAGAAUCAAAGAUUUGGUGGUUUGUUUAGAGGAAAUCGCAAGUGGGGGAUCAGUGUACGGCGGACUGAAAGGGAAAGUGAAGGGUGAAGCCUUAAAUAGGCAAAACCCUAACUGUCCCGAAAUUA